UACGUAUGGUGCAAGCGUUAUCCGGAUUUACUGGGCGUAAAGGGAGCGCAGGCGGCGCGCCAAGUCUGAUGUGAAACCCCGGGGCUCAACCCCGGGCAUGCAUUGGAAACUGGCGGGCUGGAGUUCCGGAGAGGUAAGCGGAAUUCCUAGUGUAGCGGUGAAAUGCGUAGAUAUUAGGAGGAACACCAGUGGCGAAGGCGGCUUACUGGACGGCAACUGACGCUGAGGCUCGAAAGCGUGGGGAGCAAACAGG
rnacentral:rRNA from 1 species